ACUAAUAAGAGGUAGUCGUGGAUCGAGCGGGGUGGAACGAGGCUGCAGAACAGGACUGCGUUCGCUAAGGCUCUGACGAAUAUUGCCUCACAAAAUGGAACCAGCAACCAACCGAGACAUCUCCCAAAUGGUCAGUGAACAGGGAGACCUAUCUCGCCAACACCACGAUCAGCUGGCGCAACUGGGGAUGGUGAUGGAUGAGGUCUUCCGCCUUCUUCAACAUCUAGAUCUUCCCCACAGGGCAUCACCCCAAUGAGCGGAGGAUCCUCUACCAUGGGUUGACCGAGCGAGCCAGCAGCCCAGCACAUUCAGCAGUCUGCCCAGGUCAGCGAUGCCCAUUUGUCCCUUCCAGACAGAUUUGACGGGACCCCAUCCAAAUGCCGUGGCUUCCUUCUCCAGUUUUCCCUCUAUUUCCUCAUAAAAUGGGAGCCCCCACCACCGAGAUGUCCAAGGCUGCCACGGAUAUUUCACUGUUGACUGGGCUGGUGUUGGAAUGGGCUACGGCCGUCUGGGAGAGCGGAGAGGAGAAGCCUGG
rnacentral:lncRNA from 1 species